UACGGGGGGGGCAAGCGUUGUUCGGAAUUACUGGGCGUAAAGGGCUCGUAGGCGGCCAGACAGGUCCGUUGUGAAAACUCGAGGCUCAACCUCGAGACGCCGAUGGAAACCGUCUGGCUAGAGUCCGGAAGAGGAGAGUGGAAUUCCCGGUGUAGCGGUGAAAUGCGCAGAUAUCGGGAAGAACACCCGUGGCUAAGGCGGCUCUCUAGUACGGUACUGACGCUGAGACGCGAAAGCGUGGGGAGCGAACAGG
rnacentral:rRNA from 1 species